rnacentral:rRNA from 1 species
GCUUGGAGGUUGUGCCCUUGAGGCGUGGCUUCCGGAGCUAACGCGUUAAGUCGACCGCCUGGGGAGUACGGCCGCAAGGUUAAAACUCAAAUGAAUUGACGGGGGCCCGCACAAGCGGUGGAGCAUGUGGUUUAAUUCGAUGCAACGCGAAGAACCUUACCUACUCUUGACAUCCAGAGAACUUUCCAGAGAUGGUUUGGUGCCUUCGGGAACUCUGAGACAGGUGCUGCAUGGCUGUCGUCAGCUCGUGUUGUGAAAUGUUGGGUUAAGUCCCGCAACGAGCGCAACCCUUAUCCUUUGUUGCCAGCGGUUCGGCCGGGAACUCAAAGGAGACUGCCAGUGAUAAACUGGAGGAAGGUGGGGAUGACGUCAAGUCAUCAUGGCCCUUACGAGUAGGGCUACACACGUGCUACAAUGGCGCAUACAAAGAGAAGCGACCUCGCGAGAGCAAGCGGACCUCAUAAAGUGCGUCGUAGUCCGGAUUGGAGUCUGCAACUCGACUCCAUGAAGUCGGAAUCGCUAGUAAUCGUAGAUCAGAAUGCUACGGUGAAUACGUUCCCGGGCCUUGUACACACCGCCCGUCACACCAUGGGAGUGGGUUGCAAAAGAAGUAGGUAGCUUAACCUUCGGGAGGGCGCUUACCACUUUGUGAUUCAUGACUGGGGUGAAGUCGUACGGG